rnacentral:tRNA from 1 species
AGCCUUAUAUUCAAGUAUGAUUAUAAAUUGCAAAUUUAUAGGUGAAAAUAUUCUAAGGCUU